CUUCAACAUCCCUCUUAGAUGAAGUUAUUGAUUGAAAAUCAUUUAAGUUUGCCCCAUGGUAAAAGAUCAAGUCCUCAGAAAGAUCUCCAAAGUGUUUACGGUUUGUUUUGUUUUGGUAAGUUUACCAUGAUUUUGCUUGAAUUGCUCUCCGUUGAUCUUCUCAGCUAAGAUGGAGGUAGAGAGUUGCACAGUGGAAGAGGGCUGCAUGUAAGAAGGCAGUUCUGUCUCAGAGGACAAAAGGCCUGGGAGCACCCAGACAGACAGUCACUGCAUGGAGGUCACUCCCCUCCCAGUGGCCACUGUGGAGACAUUUCACAGAAAUGCUUGCUGGACCAUUCAGGUUCAGAGUUGGGACAAAACCGAGAACUCAUGGGGAUAUUGGACAGGAGUUAGGAAAUGACCUUCUCACACAACUGGGGCAGUGGGGGAGAACCCUGGGCUUGAGACUUGCAAUCCACCACUUGCCCCUGCCCCUGCCCCUGCAGUGUGGCCGCUGUUACCUUUUCCUGCAACUCUGCCUUCUUGAGUCCAAAUGUCUUCGAAAGGGGCAAAUGCUCGUAAGUGCCGACAGGGUGUGUUUCAGUGAAUGUUUGCAGUGUGCACCGGUCUGGCUGAAGGCCUCUUCCCUUCCCCAACACCCUCCCAUCGUGCAAAAUUACCCUGCCCAGCAGGGAGUGACUUGUGUGUCUCAGAAGAUUUUGUUGCUGUGCUCUGAGUUCUCACUCCUCAUCUCCUUUGACCAGUUUCUUCUAAUACUCCCCUUGUUCACAACACAGAACAUGAGUGCUCUUUCCUAUCAUUUUGACACUAAUAAACGGACAGUGAUUCUCAGUGUGGAAAUGAGAAUGAAGUUUUUUUUAAAGACAGGCUACAAUAAUUCCCAUGCAGAGAACCACAUGCGAUGACACUGGAUUCCAGACAGCAAGAACGUAUGGUGAAGAUGAGGCCAACAGUGAGCUGAGAGAGGCCAGCCAGGGUGUGUUUCAGUGAAGAUGAGAAACAAUCAGAUAACACCUGUUUCCUCCAGGAAAGAAAAUGUGGCCAGGGAAAAGAGAUGGGA
rnacentral:lncRNA from 1 species